rnacentral:rRNA from 1 species
CCUACGGGAGGCAGCAGUGGGGAAUAUUGGGCAAUGGGCGCAAGCCUGACCCAGCAACGCCGCGUGAAGGAAGAAGGCUUUCGGGUUGUAAACUUCUUUUGUCAGGGACGAAGCAAGUGACGGUACCUGACGAAUAAGCCACGGCUAACUACGCGCCAGCAGCCGCGGUAAUACUGAGGUGGCAAGCGUUAUCCGGAUUUACUGGGUGUAAAGGGCGUGUAGGCGGGGCUGCAAGUCAGGUGUGAAAACCACGGGCGCAACCUGUGGCCUGCAUUUGAAACUGUAGUUCUUGAGUACAGGAGAGGCAGACGGAAUUCCUAGUGUAGCGGUGAAAUGCGUAGAUAUUAGGAGGAACACCAGUGGCGAAGGCGGUCUGCUGGACAGCAACUGACGCUGAGGCGCGAAAGCGUGGGGAGCAAACAGGAUUAGAUACCCUUGUAGUC